UGCAAGCGUUAUCCGGAUUCACUGGGUUUAAAGGGUGCGUAGGUGGGCUAGUAAGUCCGUGGUGAAAUCUCUGAGCUUAACUCGGAAACUGCCGUGGAUACUAUUAGUCUUGAAUCUCGUGGAGGUAAGCGGAAUAUGUCAUGUAGCGGUGAAAUGCUUAGAUAUGACAUAGAACACCGAUAGCGAAGGCAGCUUGCUACACGAGUAUUGACACUGAGGCACGAAAGCGUGGGGAUCAAACAGGAUUAGAUACCCUGGUAGUCCACGCCCUAAACGAUGGAUACUCGACAUACGCGAUACACAGUGUGUGUCUGAGCGAAAGCAUUAAGUAUCCCACCUGGGAAGUACGACCGCAAGGUUG
rnacentral:rRNA from 1 species